AUUGAACGCUGGCGGCAGGCUUAACACAUGCAAGUCGAGCGGUAACAGAAAGCAGCUUGCUGCUUUGCUGACGAGUGGCGGACGGGUGAGUAAUGUCUGGGAAACUGCCCGAUGGAGGGGGAUAACUACUGGAAACGGUAGCUAAUACCGCAUAACGUCGCAAGACCAAAGAGGGGGACCUUCGGGCCUCUUGCCAUCGGAUGUGCCCAGAUGGGAUUAGCUAGUAGGUGGGGUAACGGCUCACCUAGGCGACGAUCCCUAGCUGGUCUGAGAGGAUGACCAGCCACACUGGAACUGAGACACGGUCCAGACUCCUACGGGAGGCAGCAGUGGGGAAUAUUGCACAAUGGGCGCAAGCCUGAUGCAGCCAUGCCGCGUGUAUGAAGAAGGCCUUCGGGUUGUAAAGUACUUUCAGCGGGGAGGAAGGGAGUAAAGUUAAUACCUUUGCUCAUUGACUUACCCGCAGAAGAGCACCGUA
rnacentral:rRNA from 1 species